rnacentral:rRNA from 1 species
AAUAAAAAAGGGGCCAGCAGCCGCGUUAAUACGGGGGGUGCAAGCGUUAAGCGGAAGUACAGUGCGGAAAGCGCACGCAGGCGGUGGGAUAAGUUAGAUGUGAAAGCCCCGGUCUCAACCUGGGAAGUGCAUUUAAAACUGUCCAGCUAGAGUCUUGUAGAGGGGGGUAGAAUUCCAGGUGUAGCGGUGAAAUGCGUAGAGAUCUGGAGGAAUACCGGUGGCGAAGGCGGCCCCCUGGACAAAGACUGACGCUCAGGUGCGAAAGCGUGGGGAGCAAACAGGAUUAGAUACCCCAGUAGUC